GCGGGGCACAGUGGUGCAUGUCUGUAAUCCCAACAGCUCAGGAGGCUGAGGCAGGAGGAUUGUGAGCUGAAAGCCGGCCUCAGCAAUUUAGCAAGGCCCUAAGCAAUUCAGUAAGAUCCUGUCUCUA
rnacentral:sRNA from 1 species